rnacentral:rRNA from 1 species
UACGAAGGGGGCUAGCGUUGCUCGGAAUCACUGGGCGUAAAGGGUGCGUAGGCGGGUCUUUAAGUCAGGGGUGAAAGCCCGGGGCUCAACCCCGGAAUUGCCUUUAAGACUGCAUCGCUUGAAUCCGGGAGAGGUGAGUGGAAUUCCGAGUGUAGAGGUGAAAUUCGUAGAUAUUCGGAAGAACACCAGUGGCGAAGGCGGCUCACUGGACCGGCAUUGACGCUGAGGUGCGAAAGCGUGGGGAGCAAACAGG